GAUGAACGCUGACAGAAUGCUUAACACAUGCAAGUCUUUGGCGAAGCUGUGCUUGCACAGCCUAGCCAAGGCGGACGGGUGAGUACCGCGUAAGGAACUUGCCCUGCAGUCAGGGAUAACAGACGGAAACGACUGAUAAGACCUGGUAAAGUCAGGCGGACUCAUGUCCAGCCUGAUGAAAAGAGAUGCUGCAGGAGAGCCUUGCGUCCUAUUAGCUUGUUGGUGGGGUAACGGCCCACCAAGGCGAUGAUAGGUAGCCGGCCUGAGAGGGUGGACGGCCACAAGGGGACUGAGAUACGGCCCUUACUCCUACGGGAGGCAGCAGUGGGGAAUAUUGGACAAUGGGGGCAACCCUGAUCCAGCAAUUCUGUGUGCACGAUGAAGGUUUUCGGAGUGUAAAGUGCUUUCAGCAGGGAAGAAAAAAAUGACGGUACCUGCAGAAGAAGCGACGGCUAAAUACGUG
rnacentral:rRNA from 1 species